UACAGAGGGGGCAAGCGUUGUUCGGAAUUACUGGGCGUAAAGGGCGCGUAGGCGGCCUGUUAAGUCGAACGUGAAAUCCCCGGGCUCAACCCGGGAACUGCGUCCGAUACUGGCAGGCUUGAAUUCGGGAGAGGGAUGUGGAAUCCAGGUGUAGCGGUGAAAUGCGUAGAUAUCUGGAGGAACACCGGUGGCGAAGGCGGCAUCCUGGACCGAUAUUGACGCUGAUGCGCGAAAGCCAGGGGAGCAAACGGG
rnacentral:rRNA from 1 species